AGAGUUUGAUCCUGGCUCAGAAUCAACGCUGGCGGCGUGCCUAACACAUGCAAGUCGAACGAGAAAGUGGAGCAAUCCAUGAGUAAAGUGGCGCACGGGUGAGUAACACGUGACUAACCUACCUUUUAGUGGGGGAUAACCUAGGGAAACCUGGGCUAAUACCGCAUAAUACUUACGAGUCAAAGCAGCAAUGCGCUGAAAGAGGGGGUCGCGGUCGAUUAGUUAGUUGGCAGGGUAAUGGCCUACCAAGACUGUGAUCGAUAUCCGGCCUGAGAGGGCGCACGGACACACUGGAACUGAAACACGGUCCAGACUCCUACGGGAGGCAGCAGUGGGGAAUUUUGCGCAAUGGGGGAAACCCUGACGCAGCAACGCCGCGUGGAGGAUGAAGUCCCUUGGGACGUAAACUCCUUUCGAUCGGGACGAUAAUGACGGUACCGGAAGAAGAAGCCCCGGCUAACUUCGUGCCAGCAGCCGCGGUAAUACGAGGGGGGCAAGCGUUGUUCGGAAUUAUUGGGCGUAAAGGGUGCGUAGGUGGUUCGGCAAGUCUUGUGUGAAAUCUUCAGGCUCAACUUGAAGUCUGCACAAGAAACUGCCGGGCUUGAGUAUGGGAGAGGUGAGUGGAAUUUCCGGUGUAGCGGUGAAAUGCGUAGAUAUCGGAAGGAACACCUGUGGCGAAAGCGGCUCACUGGACCAUUACUGACACUGAGGCACGAAAGCUAGGGGAGCAAACAGGAUUAGAUACCCUGGUAGUCCUAGCCCUAAACGAUGAUCGCUUGGUGUGGCGGGUAUCCAACCCUGCCGUGCCGUAGCUAACGCGUAAGCGAUCCGC
rnacentral:rRNA from 1 species